AGUGUUCGGGACUGAUGUGUAGUGCAAGGUGUGAAGGCGCCGGGUGUAAUGCAACCUGUACUGGUCUCAGAUGUACCGCAACUUGUAAGGGCGACGGAUGCUUUCAAGCGGCGGCCUUAUGGUAAAUAAGGAUAC